rnacentral:lncRNA from 1 species
UAAGAAGCUGCUGCUUCUUCUUCUCCUUCGGCCGCACACCACACACGCACACGCCACACACACACACGCAUGGAAAGAGGGAGAAAGAGAAGCCUUCCAUUUUCUCUCUCUAAAUCUCUCCCAAAAUGGAUGGAUUUGGUGGAGAAGUAAGCUUGGAAGUUGAUCUUCAUCAACUUCAUCUUCUUCCUCUCCAUUGGAGCAUGCUUUGAAGGUAAGCUUUAAGAGCUUUAAUGGCAUUUCUCUAUUGCUUGGGUUUUAAGCUCUAGAAACGAAUUAGUAGCUUUCCUAGAUGCUAAGAAGAUGAGUUAUGCUUAGAUCCUAAGUUCUAAUAGUGGAUUUUUACCUAUUGAAACCUAGAGCUCCAAAAUGAGGGCUUUAAUGGUAGAUCAAUAAAGAUAGGUCUAAAUGCUUUGGAAAUGGUUUUAGUGGAACCCAUUGAUGCCUAAUAGAUGAUUAAUGCUUGAAUCAUAGAGCAAUUUAAUGAUUUCUUGCAUAGUUGUAAACCUAGGGCUCAAAAUGCAAAUUUUCAAAAUAUGAGGGUUUGAUCUCAUUUGACCCUUCAUAAACCUAAUUGCUAGGUAAUGAAACGCGUUGGCGAAGACGGUUCGGC